GUUGAAGGUUGGGUAACACUAACUGGAGGACCGAACCGACUAAUGUUGAAAAAUUAGCGGAUGACCUGUGGCUGGGGGUGAAAGGCCAAUCAAACCGGGAGAUAGCUGGUUCUCCCCGAAAGCUAUUUAGGUAGCGCCUCGUGAAUUCAUCUCCGGGGGUAGAGCACUGUUUCGGCUAGGGGGCCAUCCCGGCUUACCAACCCGAUGCAAACUGCGAAUACCGGAGAAUGUUAUCACGGGAGACACACGGCGGGUGCUAACGUCCGUCGUGAAGAGGGAAACAACCCAGACCGCCAGCUAAGGUCCCAAAGUCAUGGUUAAGUGGGAAACGAUGUGGGAAGGCCCAGACAGCCAGGAUGUUGGCUUAGAAGCAGCCAUCAUUUAAAGAAAGCGUAAUAGCUCACUGGUCGAGUCGGCCUGCGCGGAAGAUGUAACGGGGCUAAACCAUGCACCGAAGCUGCGGCAGCGACACUGUGUGUUGUUGGGUAGGGGAGCGUUCUGUAAGCCUGCGAAGGUGGCCUGUGAGGGUUGCUGGAGGUAUCAGAAGUGCGAAUGCUGACAUAAGUAACGAUAAAGCGGGUGAAAAGCCCGCUCGCCGGAAGACCAAGGGUUCCUGUCCAACGUUAAUCGGGGCAGGGUGAGUCGACCCCUAAGGCGAGGCCGAAAGGCGUAGUCGAUGGGAAACGGGUUAAUAUUCCCGUACUUGGUGUUACUGCGAAGGGGGGACGGAGAAGGCUAUGUUGGCCGGGCGACGGUUGUCCCGGUUUAAGCGUGUAGGUGUGUGUUCCAGGUAAAUCCGGUUCACUUUAACACUGAGGCGUGACGACGAGGCACUACGGUGCUGAAGCAACAAAUGCCCUGCUUCCAGGAAAAGCCUCUAAGCAUCAGGUAACAUCAAAUCGUACCCCAAACCGACACAGGUGGUCAGGUAGAGAAUACCAAGGCGCUUGAGAGAACUCGGGUGAAGGAACUAGGCAAAAUGGUGCCGUAACUUCGGGAGAAGGCACGCUGACACGUAGGUGAAGUGAUUUACUCAUGGAGCUGAAGUCAGUCGAAGAUACCAGCUGGCUGCAACUGUUUAUUAAAAACACAGCACUGUGCAAACACGAAAGUGGACGUAUACGGUGUGACGCCUGCCCGGUGCCGGAAGGUUAAUUGAUGGGGUCAGCGCAAGCGAAGCUCCUGAUCGAAGCCCCGGUAAACGGCGGCCGUAACUAUAACGGUCCUAAGGUAGCGAAAUUCCUUGUCGGGUAAGUUCCGACCUGCACGAAUGGCGUAAUGAUGGCCAGGCUGUCUCCACCCGAGACUCAGUGAAAUUGAACUCGCUGUGAAGAUGCAGUGUACCCGCGGCAAGACGGAAAGACCCCGUGAACCUUUACUAUAGCUUGACACUGAACAUUGAGCCUUGAUGUGUAGGAUAGGUGGGAGGCUUUGAAGUGUGGACGCCAGUCUGCAUGGAGCCGACCUUGAAAUACCACCCUUUAAUGUUUGAUGUUCUAACGUGGACCCGUUACCCGGGUUGCGGACAGUGUCUGGUGGGUAGUUUGACUGGGGCGGUCUCCUCCUAAAGAGUAACGGAGGAGCACGAAGGUUGGCUAAUCCUGGUCGGACAUCAGGAGGUUAGUGCAAUGGCAUAAGCCAGCUUGACUGCGAGCGUGACGGCGCGAGCAGGUGCGAAAGCAGGUCAUAGUGAUCCGGUGGUUCUGAAUGGAAGGGCCAUCGCUCAACGGAUAAAAGGUACUCCGGGGAUAACAGGCUGAUACCGCCCAAGAGUUCAUAUCGACGGCGGUGUUUGGCACCUCGAUGUCGGCUCAUCACAUCCUGGGGCUGAAGUAGGUCCCAAGGGUAUGGCUGUUCGCCAUUUAAAGUGGUACGCGAGCUGGGUUUAGAACGUCGUGAGACAGUUCGGUCCCUAUCUGCCGUGGGCGCUGGAGAACUGAGGGGGGCUGCUCCUAGUACGAGAGGACCGGAGUGGACGCAUCACUGGUGUUCGGGUUGUCAUGCCAAUGGCACUGCCCGGUAGCUAAAUGCGGAAGAGAUAAGUGCUGAAAGCAUCUAAGCACGAAACUUGCCCCGAG
rnacentral:rRNA from 1 species